CUUUGACCUCGGAUCAGGUAGGGAUACCCGCUGAACUUAAGCAUAUCAAUAAGCGGA
rnacentral:rRNA from 1 species